ACUGGAAAGUAAGUUAGCAAAAGAAAAUAUUAGGUUAGAAGUGGGAAGUAUAUUAGGAUUGCAUUCAGAACACAUAGGAUAUAAAGCAAUAUAAACAUAUUUAAAAAACACUGGGUUAAUAAAAGAAUAUAGAGUAGGGAUCCACCUCGGUCCACACUCCAUUACAGUAGGUGGCGCUAAUGCACACCACAAGGUUGCUUGCCAACCGCCAUAAAAACAAAAGAAGAAGAAGAAGUCAGUCUUAUUAUUUGUUCUCCAGUUUGAAAUAUUUACGUCGUAUAAAAUACAUCUUUGAUUCUUUAUUCAAGGAUAAACAUCGUCUCGAUGCGCUAGAAGCACUGUGCCGCUUCUCGUGCUAGCUUUGCUUGUUAGUUAGCUUAGCUGGCUAGUUAGCUUAGCUUGUUAGCUGCUAACAGAAGACACAGAAGUUAUCAACACAUCGCUAAGUAGAGAUCAAGUGUGAGAGUAAAGUGUUGUGAUUGUGUGAAAAUGUCUACAUUACAAAUGUUGAGAGCGUUGGUGGAUCAGCGACUAACUGCUGCCGUUGAAGAAAUAUUUGUAGUGUUAGAAAGAACGAUAGCAGAAUACGAGGCGGAACUUUCUAGAACAAAAGAGGAUUACAAUCAACUACUGGACGCUGUUUUCACGAAGCAUCAAGUUGUGUUACACAAAACAGAUUGCUCCACCCACUUCCUCUUGAGUGCCAGGAAAUGUUGACAGGGAUGGGACCGUUGCUAUGGUGCAGUUGCCAUGGUAACGUGAUUUAAUUGGGUUCAGGUAGGAGUAUUCGGGGCGAUUGCAUGGAGGACACAAACAGUUUAGGACGGUGCCGUGCGUGGUCAGGUCUCGCUGCUGUGACAAUGUUCCAUUCAAGCCAAGAUAUUUCCACAGUACUGGACAUUGAAUUGAGCCACUCACGACUUCAUCUGGGACACAAAGGACAAGACAAAACGUGAAAGACAGCUUUAAGGACUUCAACACAAAAUGUGUGCAUCCUUUCUAACGGCCACUGGGGGGCAGUAGAGGUAACUAUUCCAGCAAGGUUUUCCAAAGUGUUUUACAAGGUCUGACUCCAAUUGCCUACCUGGUCUGUGUGACUACACUCUGGCAACCCAUGUUGUCUGAUAUAGUCCUCAAACAUACAUUUUGCUACUGUAAAGACACGCUGGAAAAGGUUGACAUAGCGUGUAAAGUAGUCUUUAAACCACAAGUACACACCUGUUGUCCUGAGAUGUAACAGGUAACUCAGUAAUAUUCAUAGCAGCAGAUCUUAUCAUGUUGAAAUGUACCAUCUUUAUCUUUCAUGAUGGUCACUUACCAUGACUUGAUUAACGUGGACCCCAACUUAAACAAGUCGAAAAACUUAUUUGGGUGUUAACAUUUAGUGGUCAAUUAUACGGAAUAUGUACUGUAAUGUGCAAUCUACUAAUACAAGUAAUCAAUCACUGCGGUUAAGUGGCUUGAAACAAGCGUCCAGUCAAUGUUUGGCUUUACCGUGUCUGAUUUCACAUUUCACUUUCCUUUUCUUGGAUGCUUUGCCACCUGAAGAUUCAGCCUCACACUUUUCCUCUCCUCCCACUUUUAGUAGUUUGGCCACAGCGAUUCAUUCACAUGAAUUGUUUCAGCUUUAGUUUUUACUUCCUGAACCAACCCUGGCUUGGAAUUUAUCCCUGGCUUGGACUCUAAC